AGAGAGAGAGAGAGAGAGAGAGAGAGAGAGAGAGAGAGAGAGAGAGAGAGAGAGAGAGAGAGAGAGAGAGAGAGGGAGGGAGAGAGAAAGAAAUUUGAUGACUGGUUCUAUGUAAUGACUGUUGGUGAGUGAAGUUCGUUUAGUGCUGAAGUUUAAGGUUGCAGGAAAACGGCUCGACAGGUGGAGUGUGUCUGUCACUCUCUCUCUCUCUCUCUCUCUCUCUCUCACACACACACACACACACACACACACACACACACACACACA